rnacentral:rRNA from 1 species
AUUGAACGCUGGCGGCAGGCCUAACACAUGCAAGUCGAGCGAGCGGCGGACGGGUGAGUAAUGUAUGGGGACUGCCCGAUAGAGGGGGAUAACUACUGGAAACGGUGGCUAAUACCGCAUACUAUCGGAUAACCCAUAUGGGAUUAGCUAGUAGGUGGGGUAAAGGCUAACCGAGGCGACGAUCUCUAGCUGGUCUGGAAGGAUGACGCACCACAGUGGGACUGAGAAACGGCCCAAAUUCCUACGGGGGCAGCAGUGGGGAAAAUUGCACAAUGGGCGCAAGCCUGAUGCAGCCAUGCCGCGUGUAUGAAGAAGGCCUUAGAGUUGUAAAGUACUUUCAGCGGGGAGACGUUACCAGCAGAAGAAGCACCGGCUAACUCCGUGCCAGCAGCCGCGUAAUAC